AACCCUGCUCAGCGAAGAUUUGGCAAUUUCAGGCUGCUGGGGCACCGACACCGGCCCCGGCGGGGCACGUGUCCGCAGGGCGUGGGUGAAACCCUCGGUUGCUUGCACCUUGGCGCCCCCGCCCGGAGCGCGACAAGAGGAGGCAGUCGGGGGCGGCCUUGGCCGGAGAGGCGGGGAGGAAGGGCUGGCCGCGCGACUCCGGAAACCGCGGGCCUGCGGGGUGGAUCACUGACCUUCAAGGUCACCGGGCGCGGGGAAACCACUGGCCCACGCCAGAGCAGAGGCCACCGGUCCAGUCAAAACCCUACUGGGGAGUGCGCAGCUCCGCAAGGAAGCUCGGAGGACGCGAUAGAAGACGUAACUUGGAGGCCAGCACAAGUCUCAGUUUCUGUCACUUGAAGUUGAAAGAGUCUUGAUUUACCAACAUAGAAGUCACUACCUCCAAAGAGGCUGAGAGAAGUUAAAUCCAGCAGAUGCUGUGCCUGGAAGUGCAGCAGCCAUCUUGGGACCAUGAGGGUGAAAGCCGCAUGCAGUGGACAGCAGAGCAGAGAGAAAGAAACUGUCUGGGUCUUUGGUAACUGGAGCAGAUGCACAAGCCCUGGAUUCUGUAUG